GGCAUCUGAAUCUUAUGUUCUCUCUGUUAGAAUGGAUUUGUGGGUAGGUUGGUAUCCUACAUUAGGUAUGAGUACACUACAUAUUGACUUUGUUGGACAGAGCAGUACACUUCUGAAUCAUCACCUUUUCCUUUAAUAUUCUUUACUGUUCAAUUGCAAGUCUGCAACUUCCUUUCGAUCCAUGGGGAUGAUUCAGAAGCAUGAUUGAAAAUUGAGUGUCCUUUGGGGAAAAAAGAAGAAGAAGAAGAAGAAGAAGAAGAAGGGACCCCUCAAAUCAAAACAGUGUAAACAGUGUUGCACUGCGAUUGGGAAUUGUAAAAGAGGCUUUUUAGAUGGAAGGUGGGUGUGCCAUGUCAAUGUCACAGCACCGCCGUUGCCCUACGGCUACUGCAAAAGUGCAGCAGCCUGCUAAGAAAAGCAUAAAGGCGUUUUAGCACGGCAGGUCCCCACCCCCCCACGGCUGUAAUUGGCAGCGCCAUAGCACUUUCUUUUACAUUGUUAUGCUCAGGUUUCAAGAUUAUAACUGGAUUUGUCGCUGAUUUACUCAAUAAACCCCUCUUCAUUGCUGCUGCUGCUGCUAAGGACAACGACAAAGGAAGGAAGAUGAGAUAUAGUCAAAUUUUGUUUUCAAACAAAUAAAGAGCAACAAAAUUCGAAGUUCCGCGGGAAAACAAUAAUCGGAAUCGUUAAGUGUGCAAUUACGCCUCUGAUUCGCCUCUCCAACAAUAAUAUUCUUCAAUGAAUUUGCAUUAAUUGCAAAAGGAUGAUCGAUCAAGGGACUACAAAAUUUGUUAGGUCGUGCAUCUGUCAUUUUCCUCUUGAAUCUGACUUUUCCGCUUUCAAGAUUGCUUCAGUUAAACACCAAUUUCCCGAUUGAUCGACUCUAUGAAGAUCAAGCAGAACAAGAAGUUGCCAAUUGUUUGGUGUGUUCGCUGGGCCGUCGCGCGAGUGCGCAUAAACUGUUUGUCAAAAUGCGAAUCCGCUUUGGCAUUGGAAUUGCUGCUGAGUUUACUUUUGAAACACUUACUGGCUACUUACGUUCUUCAUUAAUUCAAGUACACAACAUAUUUAAAACCUCUUGAAGAACUCAGCAGCCCGAUCCUUUCGGA